rnacentral:rRNA from 1 species
UAGGGAAUAUUGCGCAAUGGGGGAAACCCUGACGCAGCCACGCCGCGUGAGUGAGGAAGGCCUUCGGGUCGUAAAGCUCUGUCGCCCGGGAAAACAAGCAGUGGGGGAAAGUUCCAUUGCCCUGAUUGUACCGGGAGAGGAAGUAGCGGCUAACUCUGUGCCAGCAGCCGCGGUAAUACAGAGGCUACAAGCGUUGUUCGGAUUUACUGGGCGUAAAGCGUGCGUAGGCGGCAUUGAGAGUCGUGGGUGAAAUCCCUGGGCUUAACCCAGGAACUGCCUGCGAGACCUCAGUGCUAGAGUGUGAGAGGGGAUAGUGGAAUUCCAGGUGUAGCGGUGAAAUGCGUAGAGAUCUGGAGGAACACCGGUGGCGAAGGCGGCUAUCUGGCUCACAACUGACGCUCAGGCACGAAAGCGUGGGUAGCAAACAGGAUUAGAUACCCUCGUAGUCCCUGAGCGGGCUGGCAAGGCGCAU